CUCCUGCUGGGGCGAUGGGCGGGGCCCCACCCCCUUCCUCCCAGGGCACCGGAGCCAGUGGCUGCGCGGGUGGGUCAGCCUGGAAGACCCGGGGCGGGAGAGAAGAGCCGGCCCAGGACGUGUCCCCAGCGGCUGGACGAGAGGCUGUGUGCUCGGGCCCCGACGCCAACUCGGAAACACUGCCGAGGAGCAGCAGCUGAAGACGCCUGAGCCCCGGGAGCCCCGGGCCUGCUUCCUGGGCCCUGCACUCCCAGGGCUGCACCCCAGCCUGGCCCACCUGCAGUGGGCGUCCUGUCACCUCGACGACU